rnacentral:lncRNA from 1 species
UGCCCCCCCACCCACGUUACUGUUCAGCAGUUGUUUGGGACCCUGCUGUGCCAUUUGGAUCAUCUGUUCUCUACAUGUGUUCAGCCCAGUGGACUUGUGCUGUGUUUCCUUCAAGACUCAGCUCAAGUACAGCCUUCUACGUGAAUCUUUUCCAGAUGCCCACAACUGCGAAUUCACCAAGAACUGAAAAAUCGAGCAUUAAUUUUGAAUAUUUUAUGUGAAGAAACUGAACCAAAGAAAGGUUAAGUCACUUGCCUAGCGUCACACAGAAGAGAUUGGAUUGGAAGUCAAAUUUUCCUGACUCUAGGCACCACCUACCUGCAAUUUCCAUUCUGAGUCAAUUUCUCCAUACUGAAAAGUUUUCAAGAAUGGUUAAGAUCAUAACUGUCUCUAUCAUCUAAUGACCAGAUUACAUAAAGAGAAGUUCAUCACCAAUUAUUUUACAACUGUUAAUGGAAGUUUUGACACACCAAAUGCAGGAAAUAUAGGAAUAGAAACUAAGUUGCUCAGUCCUCACUAUUUAUUUCUGCUUUUGUAAUGACAGUGGUGGAGGGGUGGAAAAAUAGAAAAGGAGGCAGAGGAUGCUAGGAAUCACAGUUUUAGGCCACUUAUAAAUAUCAAUUAACUGUAGAUAAUAAAAAUGUGAAGUCCUUGUGCA